rnacentral:piRNA from 1 species
UAAUGGCUUAAAGAUAGGAGUGGGU